AAAGUCUAAAAGAUCAGAUUAAAGGCUGCUUGCACUCAUGGCCGGAUGGAUAUGGAAAUUGCCUCCGUAGAUUCGAAACCCCGUUUGGCUUCGAGACAUGUCCAUGGUUCAGUGAACGUGGAAGCAAGACCCAAUCAAGAAAAGCAGUUGGGGCUCAAGCCGAUCACACAAGGGACGAUAAAAGGGCCUAUCACGUCAAUGAUUCCCGAUAAAUCAAACAAAUUCACAUGAAAACUGCUGAAAGUAUGGGCCAUAUGAUUGCUGUUCAGUGAGCGUGGAAGUGGUCUAUGGUCAAGGCACUAGUGAUUGGCACAACAUAGGUAGACCAUGACUGUGGAAUGGGAAUCCCUUUUGUUGGAUGCAGAAAUAAGUUGUAGAGGCUUGCAGUCAGCUCAGGUAGAAAUUCAUCAUCACCAAAACAACCAAGCAACUCUGAAAAGGAAUAAGCAAUAUCAGUGAAAAUAUAUAUUAUUAUAACAGACAUUUCUCAUCAAAGCAGCCAGAAUUGCUGGUGUUGGAGGAGAGUGAAAGAGUUGUUAUUCUUCCAUGGAAAAGACGUGUUUUAGCAGCCGAGGAGAAAGAGAGGGGGGGCUUGACUUUUAACAUUUUAAACAAGCAGUUUGGAGAAAUUACCUGAUGUGAUGAUGUCAAAUGAUCUGUACAAUGCAUGAAAUGGCUCUGGAAGGUCUUUGACUGACAGAUCAGGAUGGAAGAUGAAUGGAUCAUAAAUAUAAACAGUCUGAGAACAAAACACAAUCUUGCAUUAUUAUCUUGGCCAAACUUUCUAAUACUUCUACUUAAUACUUUCUAAUAAUUCUUAUUUGGUGUAGUGGUUCAUUUAAAAAGUCCCUGAAUACACCCUCCUUGCAACUGGCCUGUAACCCUUUCUUUUGUAUCCCCCACCCCACCCUACCCCUUUGGCAGUGAGUUGGCUCACUCAAUAUGAGAGAAUAAAAAAAAGCAUAAAAUACUUAUAUAUUAAGUGUUAUAGCUAGGGCUAAAACUUUUUGUAUAUAUUCUAAAACACUACAUAAAAUAAAACAAAGAAAACAAAAAAUUACAUA